CUUCCAUGAAAGUUUCUUUGAAGCUUCCAUCACUCUCUCAAACUAACCUCAAUUUUCGUGCUUUACACAACCUAUUGUAGGGUUUUUCAUAUUCUUUUACUCCUUCACCUUAAACAAACCCUUAAAAGUCUUUCUUCAAUACUUUCUCUCACCAACUGAACUUUGUAGAGAGAGAAAGAAAGGUUUCAUGAUAGCUUGAGAACUUUUGGGAAGAAAUUUCAUUACCAUCCACCAAGGUGAAUGAUGAAUUAGGAUUGGUUUUAAGUUAUUGAUGAUAGCUAGUAAUUAGAGUUAUGAGUUGUGUUAUUUUCUGAAAUUGUUUAUCUAUUUCUAGUGUUACUAAAGUAGAGAAACGGAAUAGCCAAUCAAAUGGUAAUUGGAAGGUAGAUAGGAAAGGCUAUUGAAGGUUGAAUUGGGAAACAGCUUUUGGAGUGAUAUUAAAGUAAAUUGAUUUGGCUGUGAUGUUUUUGUACGUGAUAGGUUCCAACAAGGCCCUUUAGCCUUAUUUGAACCAUUAGGGAAGUUAGAGUCGAUUAAAGGCUCAACAAGUACCAGUGAGUGAACUUGCAUUAAAAGGUUUUGGGAUAUACACAUACAUGUUUGAUUGAACCCCUAGAACGUUUUACUUGGUUCUUUCUUCAAAACUCACAUGGGAACAAGCCCUUAUGAAAUGUUUUUAUGUUAUGAAAUGGAUUGUGUGAUGAAUUCAUAUGUUUCUGUAUAAUGUUGAUAUAUAUAUACUAUGUCAUAAAUGGUACCAUUGUGUGA
rnacentral:lncRNA from 1 species